AUGGAUCUGUCUGUCAAUUUGAUAAAUCACUCAACCUUCAUAGUUUCCUUUGGUGAAAAAAGUUUCCGGUUUGAUGACGGCAAUGCCCAGACUGGACGCCUGGCCAGGAAGGCAGGUCACAGCAGUGGAAACCCAGCUACAGUUACACGAGGAACUGCCUUCAGUGGCACCUGGGCUUACAAAGACCCUAUGAGGAAAUGAUGGCUCCGCGUGCUGAACCUGUUUGGAAAUAACCGAAGGUGAGGGCUUUGCCACCAGGCAGCAGCAGCAGCAGUUCCUUCAGCCUUGGACGGGCAGCAGCAUGUCAACAGCCAAACCACAGGUUGUGUUACACGCCACUGGAGCUGUUCUCAAUGUCACUCUUCUCUGCCUGAUGGGGCUGGGGGUGCCAAGAUGAGGAAAUUAAGAAAUUAAUUUCCAUGGAGAAAAGUUUUCCUGCUGCCUUCAUGCCUGAGAGUAUCCUUGGUUUUAUGUAAUACCACUCACCCAGCAGUCUCGCAUCACUUUCUUCAAGGAUCGCCUACGUGGUGGAGUUACUGCAGAGCUGCUACUUUAGAAUAACCAUUUCUGAACAACCCUGUGCAAAAACAGGUUUAUUCUGAAACAAGAAAAGCUUAUUCUGGUUGAUACUCUGUCAAAACGGACUUCUUUCCAACAGUGGAUUAGGCUAAAUCGGACCAGGUGGAAGAAGAGUGCCCACACACAGAAGGAUCAGGAACAGCCUUCAAACUCACAUAUUUUCAGGGUGAAAUGGCAACUAUGGACAACUGUGCCAUUGCACAGAGGAAAUAAAUUAGAGUAUAUAGCUUGGAGUCUGACA
rnacentral:lncRNA from 1 species